CCUACGGGGGGCAGCAGUGGGGAAUAUUGCACAAUGGGCGCAAGCCUGAUGCAGCCAUGCCGCGUGUGUGAAGAAGGCCUUCGGGUUGUAAAGCACUUUCAGCGGGGAGGAAGGCAAUAAGGUUAAUAACCUUGUUGAUUGACGUUACCCGCAGAAGAAGCACCGGCUAACUCCGUGCCAGCAGCCGCGGUAAUACGGAGGGUGCAAGCGUUAAUCGGAAUUACUGGGCGUAAAGCGCACGCAGGCGGUCUGUCAAGUCGGAUGUGAAAUCCCCGGGCUCAACCGGGGAACGCAUUUGAAAAUGG
rnacentral:rRNA from 1 species